GUAUCACCUGUAAUGCAGACAGUGCUAUCUAUCAUCAAGGCCUUCAGAAACAUUCCUGCAAUUAUUCUACUCAAUAUAAGCAAACUGAACAUUUUGAAACUUGCUCCUGGUGGGUAUGUGGGACGUUUCUGCGUUUGGAUCAAAAGUGUUUUUGGAAGUUAGACAUAACCGUAUGGCACUUGGCUUAAGGCUGCUUCCCUCAAGAGUAAGUAUAACCUCCCUUUGUACAACAUGAUCAAUACAGACGUUAGCAGAAUCUUGGAAAGUCC
rnacentral:lncRNA from 1 species